CCAAACCCAAUAGCACUGGACGCGAGGGAGUGACCUUACAAGCCGAUUUUGUAGGAUGAGUUAGGCUCAAUACUCAUUUUUUAAGAAGAAUAAUUAGUUGUGGAAUUUAAGCUUGAGUGAAUUAAUCUUAUGUGCUAGAGCUUUUGGUGACGGUUUCUAGACAUUUUGACAAUACCCGAACUUGAUUUGUAUUGAUUUUCCAGCAUUCUUUCAUUAAGGGAGGUCUUCCACAACUAUCAUAAUGCAAAUCUUAGACUUCAAGGCAUCAUUAACCACUCUUUUUUUCAUAUUCCAAGGAUUUAUUCCUAAUAAUUAAAAGAGAAAAAACACAAGUAAAAAUGCUCUAUUAAACUUUAUUAAAAUCAUCUCACUUUAUUAAUAAACUUUGUUACCAAUUCAAUUCACCUACAACAACUACUACUUUUGUGCAAAUUUUUCUCUACAUGUAUGUUUAUUAAAAUUUUAUAGGUGCAUUUUUUAUCUACAAUUGCAUUCAUUAAAAUUUUAUAUGUACGUUGUGCUAAUACUUAGCACGAAAUCACACACUAGUUAUGUUUGUUCUGCAAGUUUGUGAUGAUGACUUCUAUAGUAGUGAGUUUUUUAAAUUGAAUUUAUUUAACCAUAUUUUUUUUAUUUUAUUAUGUUUAUAAAUGCUUAUGGUGUAAAAGAUGCACAUUGUCUAACAAUAUUAUUUUUCUUUUGUUAAUUUUUUUUUUUAUCAUGGAAGGAUAAAAGAUAUAAAUUAUUUCUUAUAAUUAAUAGGAAUUUUUUUUCACCGAUCUAUUUACUAAGUGUAUUAAAGAGACAAACAAAACACUUCAAUGUAGCUAAGAGAUAUUUCACAAUUAUAUAAGUGCGAAAAACUAUUUAAUUCAUACAUGUAAAGAAAGAUUGAGCUUUAUAAAGUGAUCAAAUUAUUUUCUAUUUGUUACAUGCAAAGUGGAAAUAUGGUUAAAUUUAUGAAACUUGUUAUUUUUAUGACUCUAAUUCUUUCCCUUAUUCUUGUUGCGGCUAACUUUGACGCGGUUUUUGACUGUGAUAACGACUCUCAAUGUAUAAACAAAGUUAAGUGUAAGGCUCCAUUGAUUCCGUUUUGCAGAAACCACAAAUGUGUUUGUGAUCCUCAUAAUGGUAUAAAAACCACUUGGAGUGAAAGAUCAUAGUGAGUGCAUGAAUUUCCUAUAUGGUAGAAUGGUUUCUUGAACUACCAAAAUAUCAAAUAGUUUAUGAUAAAAUAUUUCAUGAUGCCACUUAAGUGCUACAUUGGCAUCCAAUGAUUGAAUUUGUUUUCUUUUUCUUUUUCCAUUCCUAAUUUCACAUACCAUGCAGUUAUGGUUCUGUAAUUUGAAUUCUCUUAUAAUACAUUGUUCCUUAUACUUCAA